GACGAACGCUGGCGGCGUGCUUAACACAUGCAAGUCGAACGGAAAGGCCCUGCUUUUGUGGGGUGCUCGAGUGGCGAACGGGUGAGUAACACGUGAGUAACCUGCCCUUGACUUUGGGAUAACUUCAGGAAACUGGGGCUAAUACCGGAUAGGAGCUCCUGCUGCAUGGUGGGGGUUGAAAGUUUCGGCGGUUGGGGAUGGACUCGCGGCUUAUCAGCUUGUUGGUGGGGGAGUGGCUUACCAAGGCUUUGACGGGUAGCCGGCCUGAGAGGGUGACCGGCCACAUUGGGACUGAGAUACGGCCCAGACUCCUACGGGAGGCAGCAGUGGGGAAUAUUGCACAAUGGGCGGAAGCCUGAUGCAGUAACGCCGCGUGCGGGAUGACGGCCUUCGGGUUGUAAACCGCUUUCGCCUGUGACGAAGCGUGAGUGACGGUAAUGGGUAAAGAAGCACCGGCUAACUACGUG
rnacentral:rRNA from 1 species